UAACGGCCGCGGUACCCUAACCGUGCGAAGGUAGCAUAAUCACUUGUUCUUUAAAUAAGGACUCGUAUCAACGGCAUCACGAGGGCUAUACUGUCUCCUUUCUCUAAUCAGUGAAACUGAUCUUCCCGUGAAGAAGCGGGAAUUAUCAUAUAAGACGAGAAGACCCCAUGGAGCUUUAAACUCAAUAUAUAUCUCUACGCACUUUCAUCACUGCAGCCUAAGAAAAUUAUAUAUUAGUUUUGGGUUGGGGGGACCGCGGAGAAAAAAUCAACCUCCACGACAAAUAGGCUAACGCCUUUAUCCAUGAACUACAAUUCUAAGAAUCAAUAAACUGAUGUUUAAUGAUCCAAUUUGUUGAUCAACGAACCAAGUUACCCUGGGGAUAACAGCGCAAUCUACUUCAAGAGCCCCUAUCGACAAGUAGGUUUACGACCUCGAUGUUGGAUCAGGGUAUCCUAGUGGUGCAGCCGCUACUAAAAGAUCGUUUGUUCAACGAUUAAAACCCUACGUGAUCU
rnacentral:rRNA from 1 species